UACGUAGGGAGCAAGCGUUGUCCGGAUUUACUGGGUGUAAAGGGUGCGUAGGCGGCUUUGCAAGUCAGAAGUGAAAUCCAUGGGCUUAACCCAUGAACUGCUUUUGAAACUGCAGAGCUUGAGUGGAGUAGAGGUAGGCGGAAUAAGUUAAGUAGCGGUGAAAUGCAUAGAUAUAACUUAGAACACCGAUAGCGAAGGCAGCUUACCAGACUGAGUCUGACGCUGAUGCACGAGAGCAUGGGUAGCGAACAGG
rnacentral:rRNA from 1 species